GAUGAACGCUGGCGGCGUGCCUAAUACAUGCAAGUCGAGCGAACGGACGAGGAGCUUGCUCCUCUGACGUUAGCGGCGGACGGGUGAGUAACACGUGGGUAACCUACCUAUAAGACUGGGAUAACUUCGGGAAACCGGAGCUAAUACCGGAUAAUAUUUUGAACCGCAUGGUUCGAUAGUGAAAGACGGUUUUGCUGUCACUUAUAGAUGGAUCCGCGCUGCAUUAGCUAGUUGGUAAGGUAACGGCUUACCAAGGCAACGAUGCAUAGCCGACCUGAGAGGGUGAUCGGCCACACUGGAACUGAGACACGGUCCAGACUCCUACGGGAGGCAGCAGUAGGGAAUCUUCCGCAAUGGGCGAAAGCCUGACGGAGCAACGCCGCGUGAGUGAUGAAGGUCUUCGGAUCGUAAAACUCUGUUAUUAGGGAAGAACAAACGUGUAAGUAACUGUGCACGUCUUGACGGUACCUAAUCAGAAAGCCACGGCUAACUACGUG
rnacentral:rRNA from 1 species